rnacentral:lncRNA from 1 species
UCAAACAUGUCUAUUUUCAACUAGUCAUUCUUUAUUCUCCAGUGAGAUCAAUCCAGAGUCUUGAACUGCAACAUAAUAGUUAUAAUGCACAAUUUCAAAAUGAAACAAUAAACCAUCAACUUUAUUUUGCAUAAAAACCGUACAUAAUAUCCAAAGCAAAAAUAUAGACACCCAUUGAACUAAGGUACCCUAAGGAACGAACAACACCCAUAUGAGCAACAUGUUCAUGAAAGACUUUGGGUACCAAACCUUUAGUCAGUGGAUCAGUUAGCAUAAAAUUUGUUCAUAUAUGUUAUAUGGAAAAUUGUCCAUUAUGUCAAUGAAUUUUGAUUUUGUAGAACUCUUAUUGUUGUUGGAGUACAGAACCACAAACUUGUUGUCAAUAAAUUCUCAAUGGUCUUUCAAUACCAUCACCACAUGUAAGCCACUGACAAAUUU